CAUGCAAGUCGAGGGGCAGCAUGAACUUAGCUUGCUAAGUUUGAUGGCGACCGGCGCACGGGUGAGUAACACGUAUCCAACCUGCCGAUGACUCGGGGAUAGCCUUUCGAAAGAAAGAUUAAUACCCGAUGGCAUAAUUCUUCCGCAUGGUAGAAUUAUUAAAGAAUUUCGGUCAUCGAUGGGGAUGCGUUCCAUUAGGUUGUUGGCGGGGUAACGGCCCACCAAGCCUUCGAUGGAUAGGGGUUCUGAGAGGAAGGUCCCCCACAUUGGAACUGAGACACGGUCCAAACUCCUACGGGAGGCAGCAGUGAGGAAUAUUGGUCAAUGGACGAGAGUCUGAACCAGCCAAGUAGCGUGAAGGAUGACUGCCCUAUGGGUUGUAAACUUCUUUUAUACGGGAAUAAAGUGAGGCACGUGUGCCUUUUUGUAUGUACCGUAUGAAUAAGGAUCGGCUAACUCCGUGCCAGCAGCCGCGGUAAUACGGAGGAUCCGAGCGUUAUCCGGAUUUAUUGGGUUUAAAGGGAGCGUAGGCGGACGCUUAAGUCAGUUGUGAAAGUUUGCGGCUCAACCGUAAAAUUGCAGUUGAUACUGGGUGUCUUGAGUACAGUAGAGGCAGGCGGAAUUCGUGGUGUAGCGGUGAAAUGCUUAGAUAUCACGAAGACUCCGAUUGCGAAGGCAGCCUGCUGGAC
rnacentral:rRNA from 1 species